ensembl:lncRNA
AAAGCACUUUCAUGAUACUCAUAAACAGAGCACAUCGAGAACAAGGUAAAGCAUAUUCUGGCAUGUUCACAUAUUGUUUGAUGAAGAAACAGCUUGUCUACCUGUUGUGGGCAUCUGUUUUCAAGAUCUGUUAGAAGGUAAGAAGGAAAAGACCAGUAAUCCAGGAGAAAAAUGAAUAAAGGAGUAAAGACAAGAGCAGCGAUGAAGUGAUGUGUUUCAUGGAUGCUGAACCAGCAAGUGGAAGGUGAACGAGAAAUGACACGUUCCUCCCUUUUGUUUCAUUCGUCCCCACACUGCAGGUGCUCUGUUUUCUGUACACUGAAGCUCUUGCUAUAGCUUUAUUAUUAUUAUUAUUCCUCCCUCCCUUCUCAUAUCAGCCCUCAGCAUAUCUGUGGUAAACAGAGCUAGGAUGGACCUUAUUAAGCCUUAGAAACUGCCUUUUCCCUCUUUUGGCAUUGC